rnacentral:rRNA from 1 species
CCUUCGGGGGGCAGCAGUGAGGAAUAUUGGUCAAUGGACGAGAGUCUGAACCAGCCAAGUAGCGUGAAGGAUGACUGCCCUAUGGGUUGUAAACUUCUUUUAUAUGGGAAUAAAAUGUUCCACGUGUGGGAUUUUGUAUGUACCAUAUGAAUAAGGAUCGGCUAACUCCGGGCCAGCCGCCGCGGUAAUACGGAGGAUCCGAGCGUUUUCCGGAUUUAUUGGGUUUAAAGGGAGCGUAGGUGGAUUGUUAAGUCAGUUGUGAAAGUUUGCGGCUCAACCGUAAAAUUGCAGUUGAAACUGGCAGUCUUGAGUAUAGUAGAGGUGGGCGGAAUGCGUGGUGUAGCGGUGAAAUGCUUAGAUAUCACGAAGAACUCCGAUUGCGAAGGCAGUUCACUGGACUGCAACUGACACUGAGGCUCGAAAGUGUGGGUAUCAAACAGGAUUAGAUACCCGAGUAGUC